GCGGCGGGGGCGGGCGGCCCGGCCGGUCGGGCGGGUGCGGAAGGCGCGCUGGGCCCGGGCUGGGUCCGAGCGUCCUGCGGGGGCCAUGGAGGGGCUGCGGCGGGGUCUGUCGCGCUGGAAGCGCUACCACAUCAAGGUGCACCUGGCGGACGAGGCGCUGCUGCUGCCGCUCACCGUGCGGCCGCGCGACACGCUCAGCGACCUGCGCGCCCAGCUCGUGGGCCAGGGCGUGAGCUCCUGGAAGCGCACCUUCUACUACAACGCGCGGCGGCUGGACGACCACCAGACUGUGCGCGACGUGCGCCUGCAGGACGGCUCGGUGCUGCUGCUCGUCAGCGACCCCAGGUAGUCUGGGUUGGAGGACAUGGAGCCAUGACCAGGGGGAACAGGGGUGCUGGCUGAAGGAGGAGGCUGAGGUGGGGGCAUCUCCCAGGAGCCUUGACCUCACUCUAGGUUCUGGGCUCCCAGGGUGGAUGGUGAAACACUGGCCAGCUGAUACCCACUGCCUGGGACACUCCUGAUGGAGCCCCAGUCCCUGACAUUGACCUAGGAUGUUGCCGCUCCGGCCCAGCCAGCCUUCCAGCUGUGCCCUCUGAUUCUGAAGCCACUGCUCCCACCUUAGGGCUUCAAAUGCUGGGUCUACAGUGGGAACCAUCAUGGAACCUUGGGAGACAGCCAGAGGAUGUCACAUGAAGAGAAGCACAGCGGGGAGAGGAGAGGAGGUUGGGGAUGUCACCUCGCCUGCCUCUACAUUCUCUCCUCCACGCCUCUGCCCAAGCUGUUCUCCCUGCCUGAAGCACCUUUCACAUCCCUCUCUGCAAGCUCCAGGCCACCUGGGAUUCCAGCCUCCUCCAGGAAGCCUUCUCGGAUGCCCUCCUCCCCAGCCAGUGAGCAACUUAACCUCUUCUGGGCCCCCACCAGACCCCUCUACUGUGAACAGCCUUGGCUAGGGGUGCGGCCAGACACUCAUGAAAUCUCAGAUGACUAGAGGAGACUGGGGAACCCCAACCGUCUCUCAGUGCUUGAGGGUCACACUGGGCCCCUCCCCCAACCUAAUCACCCGUUGUACCCGUGCUGCCCCUGCCCUACCCCCUGCGACAAUGACUGUCAGGUUAAAUCCCAGAGCUGUGGCCCCUGCACGGGGUCUUCUGGCUGUGUCUGAAGGGCUCUGGAUGAGUGGGUGGGGAUUGGAGGGGGUGGUCUGUGCCUGGCAGAGAGCUGAGACAUUGAUGCUAAUCGUGGGAUUAUUCCAGGCAGUGUGUUGUAGAAAUUCUGGGUACAAGACCCUCCAGAUGGAACGCUGGGCCUCAGCUGGAUUUUUGAUCUGUGGCCACGAGGCGUUGGAUCCUCUAAGCAGACCCCAGGGGUGGGGGCACUGGGCCUGCCAGUGCCCUCCAGGUGUUGGUGUCACAGGGCAGAGCCUGGGGAGCCUGGGAAGAAAUAAUGUUUUAAUUAAGAGUCGUGUUGGCCGCAGGGCCCGGAGCGGGGACAGGUGGAUAAUAAAUCGUGGCUGCGGGGAGACCCGGGCCCAGACCGUGUGUUUACCUAUCAUGGGGUGGGGAGGGCACCAGCCUGCCAGACUCUGCUCACCUCCCCUCAGCAGAGCCUCUCUGGGCUGGCAUCUGUCCUCCUGGGGCCAAGUAGCCUAGACCCCUGCUCCUGCCUGGUUUUGGCCUCGGGGGUCCCUGGACCACAUGCAAAUAACUAAUCUACAGGCCCUGGGACUCCCCUGUUUGCACAAUCCCCUGCAAACCCUGGGGACCUGCCUCCUAGGGCCCAACAGGAGAGUUGGGUUUGUAAUAGUCACCACAGCUCCAUUCCUGGGCUCCCACUACACUGCCAGGGCCUGGGCAACAUCCUUGCCUGGCCUUGAGUUGCACUGGUCUGCCAACUGAGAGGCUUGGUGAUGGUGGUGAUGAUUGCUGCCCAUUUUACAGAUGGGGUGUCCAAGGUCAUCCCCCCCUCUUUUGGGCUACUUCCUCUGCAGCCCCCUAAUUGAGGGGUCCCAGUCCAUUCAGCAGAGGUCUAUGAUGGAGGAAAAGAGAGGAUUUCUUGCUUCUUGGCUGAGGUGGGGGUGGGAGAAAGCAUUUUCAGGCCGUUUUGACAUUUAACAAACACUAUGCAAAUCGCAUGCAAAUCACAUGCAAAUCAUCACCCAUUUCUUAAACCUCGACAGCUCCAGCGUGUUCUGAAAUAAUAAUGUUGGACCUGUCCCUUGGCGUUGGCCUCGAGGAGGGGUACAAAGCCUUCCUUUCCUUCCCUCCUUUCUUCCUUCCCCUUCCCUUCCCUCUGUUUCCUUUCUUCCUUCCUUUCCUUCCAUCCCUACCUUCCUUUUUUUCUGUUAUCUCUUUACUCCCUUUACAUUAUUUGUUGAAGGCCUCCCAGUUCUGAGAUGAAUACAAAUAGCAAAAGUGGCUUCUGUAGUUCCCGCUUUCCAAAUGGGGAAACAGACACAGAGAAGCACAAGCCUGGCCUGAGAUUCCACAACCACAUUGUGGAAAGCGUCCCCCACCAAGUGCUGUUGUGGACCAACACUGGAUGGUAACUGUGACCUUAGGUGGAGAGACAACAGUGGCUGGAGCAAGCUUAACAGGGCUCGGAGGAACCAAGGAAAAUUGUCCUUGGGUUUCUUGGCCUUGAAGGGCAGGCUGCCAGGCUUGGAUCUGGAGAAAUCUGACCUUGACGGGUCUUACUCCUCAAGUCUUUCUUUCUCCAGCUACUCCAUCAGCAAACUCUGAAUUUGGCCCACAACCUCUCUGCUUAGUUUGCAUGCCCUACUUUUUCUGUUCGCAAACUCCUAUUCAUCCUUUGAAGCCCUAGCUCCAAGGCCCCCUUCUUUAUGCAGCCAUCUCUGAUCCUCCAAGAAGAGCUGCCACUUCUCUUUGGGCUUCUGUUGCUCCAGAUCUCUCUCUCUCUCUCUGAUCCAGGGCUGACCCUUUUGGUCCAGGGCUGCCCACUCUGGCUUGAUUCCAGCACUUGUCUGAUUAUUAUACACCUUGAAACUUGUAUUCUAAACCUAGAUCUUUUCUGAUCUUUUUCACCUGGCCUACUCCUACAUUUUCAAGGUCUGGCACUAAUGCCCACCUCUGUGUAAACUGUACAGCUCUCUCCUAGUUGGCUUCUGGGUCUACAGCCUCCAGCUCUCCUGGCUUGUUUCUGACCCAUGGAACGGGGAGGUGUGUGUGUCCUUCAAGUCUUAGGACUUGCCUCUGCAGCCCCAGGAUCAUCCAGGUUGGGACUGGGUACAGAGGGACUGAGUUGGAGUGUCUAUGAAUAAAUGAUUAAGUGUCUGGAAACAAAGCCAAGUUCACUCCCUAACUUGGCCUUGGGCUUCACUCUCCAUGACAGUUCAGCCCUAAGUGUGCCCUUCGCCCUUCCCUCUCCCUCACCUCCAGGCUUCUGUACCUCUGCCAGGAAUGGUUUUCCCUUGACUCCUAUUUUGGGGGACCCCAAGCCAGCCCUUUCCCAUUUCUGGCCUGUGAAAAGGGGAGAAGCCCGCCCCCCUCAUGGCCUCUCACGAUCCUGACUCCACCCCAGGAGCAAGUCUGGGCUGCAAGGAGUUUCGGGUGAGACUUGGCAGCCACCCUCUCUCGCUGAGGCCUGCAGCGUCUGGGGAGGGGCCACCUCCCGCCUUGGCUGCCCACUGACUUUGUGCUCCCAGAAGUUCCAUGGGAGUUGUCCUGGGGGGAAAUAAAUCCAGGCGGGUCCCAGAGGAGGCAUCUAGGGCUCAGCCAGAAACUAUAGGCACCUGGACUUCCUGCUUUAGUUCUGCUCUGCACUCCCCCGACCCCCAUCCCCAGGACUCCAGGCUGGAUUCUGGUGUUUGCUAACUCUGUCCAUUAGCCCAACAGGCAUUUAUUGAGUGCCCUCUGUGUACCCAGUUCUGGCUGCCAGAUAUACUAAGACAGAUCCUGCGUUUGGCUGCCAUAGAUGGUGGAGCCAGUUGUUCACUGCACAAAAGCAUCCAGCUGAGGAAUUCCUGUCGUGGUGCAGUGGAAAUGAAUCUGACUAGGAACCAUGAGGUUGCGGAUUUGAUCCCUAGCCUCGCUAAGUGGGUUAAGGAUCCGGUGUUGCCGUGAGCUGUGGUGUAAGUUGCAGACAUGGCUCGGAUACUGUGUUGCUGUGGCUGUGGUGUAGGCCGGCGGCUACAGCUCCAAUUCAACCCCUAGCCUGAGAACCCCCAUAUGCUGCAGGUGUGGCCCUAAAAGGACAAAAGACAAAAAAAAAAAAAAAAAAAAAAAAAAAAAAGCAUCCAGCUGGGGUGAGAGGAAGGGGGAAGGGGAAUCUUUUUGUAAUUCACACAAAGUCUCCUAUACAAGUUAGUGGUGGUCCUGACCUUGUUGCCUCUCUUUCUCUCUUUGUCUUCAUCUGUCUGUGUGUCCCACUUAGUCACUUUUUCACAUAUCUGCCCCCCCAUCUAUUACUCUGUGUGCUCCCUGCUUUUUUUCCCACACCCACGGCAUGCAGAAGUUUUGGGACCAGGGAUCAAACUCCCACCACCGCAGUGACCUGUGCCACAGCAGUGACAAUGCUAGAUCCUUAACCAUUAGGCCACCAGGGAACUCCAAUCUGUCUGUGUCUCUUGAACUCUGCUGCUCUACUCUCUCUACCUCUCCCUCUGUCUCUUUUUUCCUCCCUGUCUCUGGCAGUUUCUCUCUCUCCCUGUCUCUUUCUUUCUCUCCAUACCCCUGUAUCUGUCUCUCAUAUCCCCUCUCCAAAAGGAUACCCUUUUCCUCCAAUUUGCAGGACACUGAGGUGACCAGGACAUACACAGCAUGGCACUCAUGGUGACCAAGACACACACAGCUCUUGGCACUCAUGGGGCUUGAGGUCCAGCAGAAGAGACAGAAGUUGCAGGGUGGGGCUGCUCUUGGGAUCCUGGAAACCCCCCCUCUCUGGGCUUCCGUUUGCCCACCUACCCAACUAGGGAGGUUUUUAGGGUGGCCGGGUCAGGAGCUGCUUGCUUGGCCUAGGCUGUUUGUUGGCAGAGAGAUUCUGACUCAUCCCCACGCCCAAAUGGUUUGAAAGAAUCCUCCCAGGGGAAAACAGUUGUAAGAAAAAACAAAACACAAAAUCAGAGUCACCAGCCCAGGCUGCUGUCUGACUCAAUGAGGGGUGAAAGUAUCUACAUUGCCAUCCCCCAGAUCAUCAGAGAAAUUUCCUGCCUCUUCCCCUGAUGGCCCCUGGCUGUCUACUGAAGGCUUCUGGCGUCACAAUGAUGACUCCAGGCCUGGCACUGGCCUCACACUUGUGCUCUGAGCUCCAGACCCACUUCACCCUGUGCCAGGGCCACAAGUGGAAGAAACUCUUUCCAGCCACAGGGUCUUUGCGUGUACUCUUUCUACCUCUGGAGGACUCUCUCCCCACCCCUCAUCUUUCAUCCUCUGAUUUUCAGGUUCAAUGUCACUUCCUUCAGGAGGCUCUAAACAAUCACGUUCCCUUGGUUUUGCAUUCACUCAUUAUCCUGUGAUUUUCCUUUGUAGCAUUAAUUAUUUAUAUUAUUAUUCAUUCAGUGUAUUAUUUUUCCUACUAGCCUCUGGGCACCAUGAAGGCUGGACGAGGUCUGGUCUGGUCACUGCUGGAUCACGCAGCACUUAAUAACCCAGAGUAAGGGAGUGGUAGCCAGAAACACCCUCCCUUCCCAGGCUCAAUGAGGACCCGCUGCCCCAGUUGUUGUCACUCCCGUGUCCAGCUCCAGGUGGCUGCAGGGCGCAGAGGCUUAGGAUUGGGAUUCUGGGCACUCUGGCUCCUGCCGCUUUGAUAAAUGGGGGAAAUUCAGAAUUAAUUAUUGACUGCUACACCGAACCAGCCUGAUCUGGACAGAUAAAGAGUGUCCUCACUGCUGCGUCUGUCCAAUAGUUCUAGGGAGUUUAUUAGAGGUCGGAAGGCAGCUGGCUGAGGGGACAGGUCCAGAAAGCACUGGAGCCAGAUGGAGCUGGGUGCAAAGACUGGCUCUGCUGGGCCACUUUGGGCCAUCGACUUUCCCUCUCUGAGCCUCGGUUUUCUCAUUUGGACAAAGGGAAGAGAAAACAUCCUUGUCUGUUGGGACAAAUUUGUUGGGGGAAUCACUUUGAGUUAAUAGAGUGUGCACACAGUGGGUAUCCAAUAAAUGUUGCUGAAUUGG
rnacentral:lncRNA from 1 species